AUAAUAAAAGCAUAAUAUGCUAAUUAAACUGGACAACCCCCAGAUGACCUUCCAGAUGAAGCCACUGCUGCAUUGGGCCUCUAGUCUGUUAUAAAUAUUAUUAAUUAGACUUUGAGAUUGUUCCUUUUUUGUGAAGCAGAAUCAACCUUUUGACUGAUCAUUAUAACACGCAGUGCCCUUUCCCUUCAGAUUUCCUUCACUGAGCUCACAAGUUGCCAAGCUGUCUGUUCUCAGGAAGCAAUGCAUUCUGCUGAAGAGGGCUGUCUUAGUUUGGACCCUUGGCUACAUCUCAGAGUAUUCUGGAAAGACCUCUGGGAGAAAUCUGAGUUGGAAUUCCCUGUUCUUCACCUAGUUGUGGGCUGGGACAAGUUAUCUAAACCUCUGGACCUCUGUGUCUCCAUCUCUAAAACUGAGGCAGGAAGGAAUCAGUGGUUUGCAGUCGUGUCCUACAGGGUCACUUAAAGGCAGCUAUGGGGGUUAAUGGGGUGGAAGAUCUGGGUCCCCUAUCACCAAGUUUCAACAACACAACAGCUGUGUGUGUGCGCACCUGUGUGCUCACUCUCCCUCUCCCUCUAGGCCCUGAUUCUAGAUGACAUUUUGUUUGAACAAAGGGUACUAUAUAUAAAAAUAGUUGGAAAAAUACACUGGCAAGUAGGCCUUCUAGCUGGGGCUAAGGAAAUAGGUUCUUUCUAGAUCUAACUUUCCUUGAGCAUAUGAAAGCAGUUUUAAAGACAGAUAACUUCACUACCUUUAAAUGUAAUGUUUAAAAUUUGCUGAAAAUAAUUUUUUAUUUCAUUUAUUUUUUUAACCACUUUUAAGUUAUAUUUUUCAGAAAUAACCUCAAAGAGAAAAAUCAAUGUCAAAAUCUUUGAGUACUUUGAAAUGGCAAACUAUAAGACAAACUUUAUGGUGUCUAUGCUUUUCAUCAUAAAGUCUAUAAUUAUAUUCCUCUUGAUUCCAAUUUUUUAAAAAAUAUUCUUUUUCUUCUUUAGAGGAUAAGUGUAAAUAGUAUUCACAACCAAAAGUCACUCGACUUCACCUCUCAACAGAAAAAUUCCACUCCUUUAAGAAACCACGCAGUUCAUCCUUUUCCAUCUGCUCUUUUUCUUCUGGAAGUUUGUCCUGUCACUGACAGAACACAUCCACUGUUUCCUGUUUCUUUUCCCUUGUGACAGCCUACAAAUAAGAUGAAUGGACACCAGAGGAAAAAAAAGAUAAAUGUUUCGCUACAAAAUCAUUUCAAUUUGAGCAGAUAAUUAAUAUGUGGUCCAAUCAGGACCCCCAUUGCAAGUAUUGAGCCAGCCAUAGGACCUUCCUUGAAGCUGCAUAGCCCUCAGCAAUCAUUUCCCCUUCUUCCUUCCCCUUCAUUAUACAGAUGAAGAAACCAGGCUCAGGGCAGAGUCACACACAACCAAUUAAUGGUAAUGCCAGGGUUAACCUCAGGUCUCUGCUAUCUUUCUACCACACAACCAUUCUUAUCUGAAAUAAGUGACCAAUAAAUGCAAAACAUUUGAAGUAU